rfam:Erinaceus europaeus unplaced genomic scaffold scaffold01023, whole genome shotgun sequence
AAAGCAGGUUGCAAUUACAGUGCUUCAUGUCUGUGGAAGUACUGCCAUUACCCUGCUGAGAGAAAACCUGUGUCAAUCGUUUUUGUUUUUCCUUUUUUUUUCUUUUUCCUUUCUGAUUUUUGCCUUGAUGAGGAUAAAAUCAUGACAGAUGGACACGGACAAGU